rnacentral:sRNA from 1 species
GAUGUUGGCCCUGAAGAACAAUGACAUGCGCAAAAUUCCAGGCUAUGACCCUGAGCCCGUGGAGAAGCUGAGGAAACUGCAGAGAGCUUUGGUCCGCAACGCCGGCUCAGGUUCUGAGACUCAGCUUCGCGUCUCUUGGGACAGCGUCUUGAAUGCGGAGCGGACGGGUCGCUGGUGGAUUGUGGGGUCCGCCUGGAGUGGGGCCCCGAUGAUCGACAACAGUCACCAUACGCACCUGCAGAAGCAGCUUGUGGGGACGGUAGGGACACCCAUGCUCAAGGCUGCCAGGCAGUGGCACCUCACUGUGUGGUGUGUGGUCCCAGCUUUACCUGGAGCAGCUCUCUUACUGUUCUUGAAUGGUCACUGAAAUGUACAAGGUUUAUUUGGAGGCCUUACAGAAAUUGCUAUUAAUAUUACAUUGUGAUAUAAUUAUUCCAUUUCUGUUGUAUCUUUUUAUUGGACUUUAAAAUAUCUAAAAGUUGAAUGGCACGGGGCAGGGGAGUGCAUGAGGACCUGAACACUCAUGGGGCAGGAGCCCAUUGCUGAGAUCCCUCAGGCUGCCCCCCUGGGCUGUGCAUUCUAGGCUACAGGCUGUGGAUUUCACAUUGUUUCAUCCAGACUUCCCUCGUUAUCCCCUCAUGUCCUUCCCUGUCCCAGAUUCUGUGUCACUCAUGGUUAUGGUUCCCCAGGCUCUGCCAGUCACUGGUUCUCUGCUUCAUUCAUCGUCGCUUGCCCCGAGGUUGAACUGCUACUGAGAAGCCUCCCACAUGAGUGUUUUCUCCCCCAGCGGCUGUGGCUUCACUGUGUGUUCCCCUUGCACAGAGGGGCGUUGCCCGAGAGUGGACUUGGUGCCGACGCUCAUCCACCCACGUAGACCUCACAGUUCUAUUCAGUGACACUGAAGCACAGUUUGGCAUCUCUUGGGAAGCAGUUUGCAUGGAGAUAUGCAUAUGACUUGUCCAUUCGUCGUGCUUCCAGGUCAGCUCAAAGAUCCUAGAACUCGCCCGGAAGCAGAGGAUGAACACGGACGUCCGGAGAAACAUAUUCUGCACAAUAAUGACAAGUGAAGAUUUUUUGGAUGCUUUUGAAAAGCUUCUGAAGUAAGCAUUUGUGUGCACAUUUUGACCUAUUAAUGAGAUGCUGUAAAAUAAAUAAGUUUAUUUGCUUUUUGAGUUUUGGGCGACUGAGUCUGAAGCUGC